rnacentral:rRNA from 1 species
GGAAGGAGAAGUCGUAACAAGGUUUCCGUAGGUGAACCUGCGGAAGGAUCAUUGUCGUGACCCUGACCAAAACAGACCGUGAACGCGUCAUCUUGCCUGCCAGCGGCGGCCCUGNCUGUCGCUUGGCCAAAGUCCUCGAUAACCUCCUCUCCUCGGAGCGGGGGCUCGGGGUAAAAGAACCCACGGCGCCGAAGGCGUCAAGGAACACUGUGCCUAACCCGGGGAAGCGGCUGGCUUGCUAGCUGCCCCUCGUGUUGCAAUGCUAUUUAAUCCACACGACUCUCGGCAACNGGAUAUCUCGGCUCUCGCAUCGAUGAAGNAACGUAGCGAAAUGCGAUACCUGGUGUGNAAUUGCAGAAUCCCGCGAACCAUCGAGUCUUUGAACGCAAGUUGCGCCCGAGGCCACUUGGCCGAGGGCACGCCUGCCUGGGCGUCACGCCAAACACGCUCCCACCCCUCAUCGGGUGGUGGGAUGCGGCAUGUGGCUCCCCGUCUUGCAAGGGGCGGUGGGCCGAAGAUGCGGCUGCCGGCGUAUCGUGCCGGACACAGCGCGUGGUGGGCGAACUCGCUUUACUUACCGCAGUGCAUCCGGCCCAUAGCCGACGUGAUGGCCUUAAGGACCCUAUGAACGGAGUGCAUGACGCUCCGACCGCGACCCCAGGU